GCCGGUCCUCGGUAGUGGCUCCCGGACCCAUCGACCGGGUGCUUCGAUCGAAGACCGGC
rfam:Streptomyces sp. CB01580 scaffold42, whole genome shotgun sequence.